UGCUUGUGGCAGAGAUUAGCUGUGGACCU
rnacentral:piRNA from 1 species